UACGGAGGGUGCAAGCGUUAUCCGGAUUUACUGGGCUUAAAGGGUGCGUAGGCGGGCCUUUAAGUCAGUGGUGAAAGCUCCGAGCUUAACUCGGAAACUGCCAUUGAUACUAUUGGUCUUGAAUUCGGUCGAGGUUGGCGGAAUGUGUCGUGUAGCGGUGAAAUGCUUAGAUAUGACACAGAACACCGAUUGCGAAGGCAGCUAGCUAGACCGACAUUGACGCUGAGGCACGAAAGCGUGGGGAUCAAACAGG
rnacentral:rRNA from 1 species